AAUUACCUUUGAUGAAAGCGUCACUUAUUGAGAGCUGUUGUCCUCCAGUGUCAGAAAUCAAAUACUCUGCAUACCAGGGAGACAACAGAGAGGAGGAACAAAAGUAGAGACAUAUGACUAUAACAUGUCAGCAUAAUUAUAUAGAGAAUACGCCCACACACAAAAUAUUACUCAUACUAAACCCAUCACUGCCCGGCAAAUUCAAGAAAGCUUUGGGUAAAAAUGCCUCUUUAUACUUGUUCUAUGCACUUCAUACUAAACUUAAGCAGACUUGCAUUAAUAACACAAUAGAGCCGUGAAAACAAUUCUCCUUAAUUCAAAUGUCAGAUAGAGAAAUGUUUUUCUCUUACCAAAACCAACCGGUUUAUGAAAAUUAAAUCUUCAGAUACUUGUACGACCAUCCUAAAAGAUUACAGUUCUUUUCACAUGUAACUUGAUGAUUUAACAAAUAAUCACUUUGCCUAUGCACAAAGCAGUUCAUACAGAACCCACCUGAUAAAACAAUAUAAACUUUUUUCAAAUUUCAGAAUAUAAGCUAUAAAACAAAUUAAUACAGAAGUGACAUUGGCAGGAAUAAAGAUAAAACUCAUCAGUAUUUGUAUUAGUUCCAAAUAAGUGUUUUUGUUUUUCAAAAAUUAUAUCAAACACUGCCAAAUUUUUGCUAGACAUUAACUGAACACACUCUGAAUGCUUUUAAUAUAUUAAAUACUUUUCUUACAAGUGAAACUUACUCUUUACUUCCCCGUGAACUUUCUCUAGGUCUGUGACCAAGCAUAGCUCAAAUGAGGUUCUUUCCACUAUGCAAAUUAAAACAUGAUGCAUGUAAACUCCUUUACGGUAAAGGAUCUCCACAAAAUUUUCUCCAAGUACAUUUAUAAACAACUGGGCUUUAAAAGUUACUAUGUUUAUAAGCCAAUAUGCUCAUCCUUCCAACCAGGAAACAAAGAAAAUAUUUUAUUUAGAAAGUUCAAGUGCACUAUGCCAAAUACAAUAAAAUCGAGUAUGUGGGCAAGAUAGAUGUUACACUUUAUUUCUACUCUUCCCUCACAGGAAUGAGUAACACCAAAUCCUAUUAGUUCAAUUAAUGUAUUGUUCUUUACCAGCCUUCUCACACUAAAGCUUAAUUGUAUCUAUAUGAGACUCCAGAAAUGGUGGAUUUUCCCCAUUUAGUUAUGAAAAAAAUUCAAACCUACAGAAAAUGCUGUAUACCAUCCACCUGAGUUCAACAAUUGUUAAGGAUUUGCCAUAUAUGUGUAUGUUUCUUCCCCCCGAUCAUUCAAAGUUACACACAUCAUGACACUUUACCACUAGGACAUCAGCACAACUCUCAUAAAAAUAAAGGUAUUCUUCUCUAUAGCCACAAAAUUAUUUACAUAUUUGAGAAAAUUAACAAUGUCUUAAUAGCACAGAAUUAGCCCAUACUCAAGUUUAUCCAACUGUCUCCAAAAUGUUUUUAAUCCACAGUUUUUCUUCUUAAGCCUCGAUGCAAUCAAGUUCACACAUGGCAUUUGGUUCCUGUAUCUCUUCAUUCUCUUUUAAUCUAGAACAGAUCUCCUGUCUUUUUUUCUUUUCAUAACAUGAAUUUAAAAGAACCCAGGUCAAAUGUUCUGUGCAAUGUCCCACAUUCGGAGUACAAUCCAUUGUUUUCUCAUGGUGUGUUUAACUUGCUCCUCUAUCCCAUGUUUUCCUAUACACGGAAAACUACAUCUAGAGAUUUACGGAAGCCGUGAUUUUCACCUUCUUCUCUAGGUUUUACUUGCUAACUUUCCAAGAAUAGUUCAGAAUCCUGCUUGUAAUACAUAAUAAAAUAUAUUUUAACUGUACAAUUCUCCAAGACCAAUAAUGAAAAAUUAAGCCAGUUUUACGAGCUUCUGAAAAUAGGGUUUUCUCACUUCAGACAGAAAGCAUAAGUAGUAUUUUUUAAAGUACAGAUAUUUCAACCAAUUUUAUAAAUCCAAUUUUCCUCAGCCUGAAACAAUAUAGGACAAUCCAUAAGAAAAUAUUUAAUAAGUACUACCUUUAAUUUCAAUGUAAAGAUAAAAACCAUUCCCAUUUGUAUUUAUACAAAGGGAAUGAAAACCAGAGGCAAAAGAAUUCUAUUAUUUUUUCACGUAACUACCAGUCUCCCUGGAAAUCUUUAUUUUCUGAUAAUCAGUGUUCAUCUUGACUAUAACACUCAGCAAACUAUUACGCUUCAACUUCACAAGAAAAAAUGUAAAAAGAAUAACUCGUUAGUAUGUUAAAAACUAAGAGAGAACUGUGAAAGCCAGUAAUAUUUAUUAAGAGACUUUUAAAGUCUUCAAAUUAUAAGACUGCAAAUGACCUAAGAGGUCAAUUUAAUAAUUAUCUUCUUCCUAAUGCUGGAACCUCCUCUGUAAUAUUCUCACUGAGUAGGCUAAAGGAUUAUAAUUUCUUUUUAAUUCUAGAUCUAGAUUUUUCAGUUCACAGAUUUAGAAUUAAAAGAAAACUUAGAAGUCCCCAAGUCUAUAUAACGCAUCACCCAAUGCAGGCAUCUGUCCUCAAUAACCAUGACAGGUGGACAUUCAGACACAACCUGGACACUUACCAUGCACAGUGGCAAAAGUUCACUACUCCCAACUACUGAAUCUAGUUCUUCCUUCAGCCAUAUGCAAAAUAAAUAUAAUUUCUUUCAGGUACUCUUCAGAUACCUAAAGGAAACACCACGUCUUUUUUCCAUUUUAAAUAGUCCAGCUUUCCUUAGCAUGGUUUUCAGAUGUCUUAGGAUCCUGGCAACCUCGUUCUAUUCAUAAAUGAGAACUGAACACAAAACAGUAAAUUGGAUCCUCAUUCUAGACAUUAUAUGGCCACUAAUGAAAUCUAUUAUUGCCCUAGGGAGUGCCAGGGAGUGCGGGGUUGGCACAUCACACUAUUAAGUUUGCAAAUAACUAAAACUUAGAUCUUUAUCACACAAAUUAUUAAGAGUGACUUUCUCCAAAGUACUAAUAGUAAACAUGUUAAGCCUUAUUCUUUUAUGUUUAACUGUGUUAACUUUCAUCUUGUUAGUCUCAAUCUAUUGCUUGAGAAAAUAAAGAUCUUUAAAUGUCAAUUCUGCUAUCCAACACGCUAGCCAUUCUUUCCAGAUUUUAAUUAUUUGUGGACCUAAAAAAACAUUAAAAGUGCUGACCAAAAAAAAAAGUGAACAACUCUAAAUAUAGAGUCAAGUCCCUAUAACAUAACCUAGGAGCAUCCACUUCCUGUUGACAUCAAAUUAUUAAUUAUCCUUUCAAUAUUUUGUACAACAAGCUACAAAUCCACGUGUUAAUACUAGUAGUGGGCCGGGUGCGGUGGCUCACGCCUGUAAUCCCAGCACUUUGGGAGGCCUAGGUUGGCGGACUGCCUGAGAUCAGGAGUUAGAGACCAGCCUGACCAACAGGGUGAAACCCUGUCUCUACUAAAAAUACAAAAAUUAGCCGGGCAUGGUGGCAGGAGCCUGUAAUCCCAGCUACUUGGGAGGCUAAGACAGGAGAAUCACUUUAACCCGGAAGGCGGAGGUUGCAGUGAGCCAAGACCAGGCCAUUGCACUCCAGCCUGGACAAUAAGAGCAAAAUUUCGUCUCAAAAAAAAAAAAAAACCAACUACUAGUGUUAUCAUAAGCUCUUACAUUCACCAGAUACACUACACUCUUUGUGUUUUUCAUAUUAAAAGCUCAUACUAAGUAGAAUGGUGGUUACCAGAGGUUGAGGGAGUGAAGGGAAUGGGGAGAUGCUAGUCAAAGGGUAAAAAGUUUCAUUCAGACAGGAGGAAUAAGUUUUUGAGAUAUACUGUACAGCAUGAUGACUACAGUUAAUAAUAGUGUAUUGUAUAUUUCAAAAUUGCUAAGAGUAAAUUUCAAAGGUUCUCACCACUAAGAAUAAUAUGGAAUUUUUUUUCUUUUUUUUUUUAGAUAAAGUCUCACUCUGUCACCGAGGCUGGACUGCAGUGGCAAAAUCAUCGCUCACUGCAGCCUCAACCUGCCAAGCUCAAGCAAUCCUCCCACCUCAGCCUCCCAAAUAGCUGGGACCACAGGCGCACACCACCACACCCGGCUAAUUUUUUUGUAUUUUUUGUAGAGACGGGGUUUUGCCACAUUGCCUAAACUGGUCUUGAACUCCUAGACUCAAGCAAUCCGCCUGCCUCAGCCACCCAACUUGCUGGGAUUACAGGCAUGAGCCACUGCACCCUGCCCCAACAAAAAGGAUUUGAAAUGAUGAAUAUGUUCAUUAGUUUGGUUUAAUAAACAUAUCUAUCAUUUCAAAUCCUUAUUCCUUAAUCAUUCCAUAUUUUAUACAUACUUUGUAACAUCUUUUUAUAUCCCAUAAAUACAUACAAUUAUAAUUUGUCAAUUUACAAUUUUAAAAAUAAAGCUCAUACAGACUCCAAAGCCUGUGCUUUAAACAAGUAUGACCAUUGCCUUUGCCUCUUUUAACAUAUUUCAAGUACGAAAUUGUCCUCUUUGUCUACAAAAUUAUUGAGAGAUCAUUAAAUGUCUUAUUAACAUCAACAAAGAUAGUAUCUAUUAUAGUCUUCUGAUUUAUCAAUCUUGUAUCACCAUAAAAAAUGGAAAUGGGGUUGUUUUGGAACGACUUAGUUUGCUUAACCAAUGCUGGUGGCCCAGUCACCACCAAUCCCUUUUCUAAAUACCACAAUACAUUCUGCUUACUACACUUCUCUACAUUUUGCCAGCUUCCAAAGUCAAAUCAAGAACCCAUCUUUAAAAAAAAAAAAAAAAUGUAUCUAUCACUAUAGUCAUCUAGACUCUCUCCUACUCUUCGAAACUCUUCAAAGAUAACAAACUCUGGCUCCAUGAUCCCAGAUCCAAAGUCUUUCAACAACCUGGCAUACAGUUUGCCUAAACCUGGCAACAGACUUAUUUAAAAAACCAUUAAUUCUCUAUCUCUUCAAUAUCCUGAACUUCACUUUCCUCUUAACCAUGUGUAUUCUUUCCUGAUAAAGUUAGUCUAAAGAGCGGGGAGGAAAAAGAAGCCUUCUUUUAGUCAUCAAUCAAUAUUACAUAAACUUUCCCAAAUAACUGGCCUAGUUUUUCUUUCUACCAAACUUUAAAUCUUUCUCAGAUAUCCUUGGCAUUUUCUCCAACCUUCAGGGCAAGCUGGACUUCCAUUAGACUGUCAUUUUUCUUAAAAGUGCUGCCCCCUCUUUCAGAUUCAUUCUCCUACGAAAGUUGCCACUUACAACUUUGAUAGAUAAUCUUUUUAAAGGAUUGAGGGCCAGGCACAGUGGCUUAUGCCUGUAAUCCCAGCACUUAGGAAAGCUAAGGCAGGUGAAUCACUUGGGGCCAGGAGUUCAAGACCAGCCUGGCCAACAUGGCAAAACCCCACCUUUACUAAAAAUACAAAAAAUUAGCCAGGCAUGGUGGUGCGCACUGGUAAUCCCAGCUACUCAGGAGGCUGAGGUGGGAGAAUCACUUGAACCCACGAGGCGGAGGUUGCAGUGAGCCAAGAUCGCGCCACUGCACUCCAGCCUGGGCAACAGAGUCAGACCCUGUCUCUUAGAAAAAAAAAAAAAAAGGAUUGAAAUCAGGGAGGUUCAAAAGGGGUCAUAUUUUUGUCAACUGCAGGUGCUUCUCCUGUCAAUUUCCUUGGAGAUACAAUCUGGGGUUGCACCAUAACAAUGUCAUUUUUGGAGCCUCCUGUUCCAUUCCACUCCGAAUGUUCUCAAGUUAGGUUUUCAAAAGUAAGUAUCUGACUGUGCUCAGCAGUCUAUCCUUCCCUAUUACAAAUUCUAUGAUGACAGGUCACUUUCUUCAAGAUUUUCAAAACUUCUUUAACAUUCCAAGAGAUGAAAUCAUCACCAAGUCAAAAGUAUACUUCACAUUCUGCUUACAGCAAAAUGUGAUUGCCAACAGAUGUGUCCAGAGAACAGAUGUUCAUCAUCUGUGUGCCCCUGACCCACAUCUGUAAGUUUAUAUUCAAAACCUUCAUAAUAUCCUCCAAGUGACCACCAUCUAUAGUUAAUUCUCACACAAGUGUCAUAUCUGCUUUUCCCUCCUUUCAUACUCACCCAAAUAUUCUCCAUCAUUUUUCCAAUUUCUGUUUUGAGGAUUUCCAUAAAGAUGUCUAUCUUACUCAUGUUCAAUGCUAGUCAAGUCUCAUUAACACACCUUCUCUACUUAUUUUUAAAUAACAUAUUCCUUUUUAUUACUAUAACUCUUCAGUACCAUUUUACCACAUCUUGAUAAUAGCUAAUACUGACAACUAUGAGAAAUUUGUUGGAGAAAUAUAAACUUGUAUCAAAUCAUUUUAGUAUAAAUGUUUGGUUCAAAAGCUUCUGUUUUCUGAUCAUAUUCUUAGGCUCGAAAUAGAGUGCGCAAAACUUAGGCAAGCAUUUCAGAUCUAAGUAAGGAGACAAUUCCACUUUAGACAGUUAUAUGUUUAAAAUACAAACUCCAGGUAAAAUCAUGGAAUAAAGUGCUUCAUCUUUAUAAUAAUGAUUUUUCAGUUAUUACAACAUAACAAAAUCCCACAUUUAUUUAUUUACUCAUGUAUUUUUUAUUUAUUCACUUUUACACAAUCCCAUGAUAGGACUAUAAUUUAAAUUGGCUUUUAAUUAUACCCAAUAAAGUAAACCUCAUCAUCCAUUUUAAAAACAGGCAUUUCUUAUGUGCUGCUAUGUUAGAUUUUAGUAAUGUUUACCUCUUUCUCCUUUUACACCAAAUAUCUUUUGAAUAUGGUCACUAUUAUUUUUCAGCCAGUAGACUAAAGCAUCAAAUAAGAUAGCUAAAAAUAAUGAAUUCAUUUUACAUUAGAGAAGAAAUUGUUUUAA
rnacentral:lncRNA from 1 species